UUGCUGUGAUGAUUUUCAUUGGGUUUCGCAUGUUGCUGAGUUCCCAUGAUGCCUCAUUUUCUCUUGGCUGUCUGAGCAA
ensembl:snoRNA